UAAUAGUACUAACUGAGCUGGCUUCACUGCAGUAUCCUGGCUACAGGACCAUGCGGCACUGAUAGGCUUGGAUACUUAGCGAGAGACAGCAACCAAACCCUCCCUCCCCCUCUCUCUCUCUUCUCCUUUUUCACAAUCUCUCGUGUCUCACUCUGCUGUCGUAGAGACUGCAGGCUGCACACACUCAGUGAGUCCUUCUCUCUCUGUCCUGUUGUCUCACUCAGCGUUUCAGGCACAGAAACGGACUCUUCUGCACUGUUCUCUGCAUGACUGUCACAAAGAGGUCCACAGAGGAACAUGGGACCAGAGAAGGAAAUGCUACAGCCUACACAAAUCAAACAGUGUGGGAGAGGGAACUAAAGCGUGACAGCAUGAUGAAGAUGGGUCAUAAUGUUCCGCUCUCAAGAUUUCAACAUGCUUCUCCUAAUAACACAGUCUCAUGAAAACUGAGCUUAUUAUCUGUAAUGCAGUACAGCAACACAUUCCAUUGAGUGAUCCCACUCUCCAAUGACUCUUUUAAAUUUAGAGGUGAACAGCAAUCUGCUGCAGUAAAAUGCUGGUAAAUGUAAAUAAGAGAUCCAUUUUGCAGUGUACACAGCUUCAGGCAAAUGGUAGUUCUUGCGAAAGUGGAUAAUUUGCACGAGACUGAAGUCAUGGACCGCUUCAGUGUUAUUUGCUUGCUUUCUUUAUAUAAUAUAUUCUCAGUUUAAAUAACUGUUUUGUUUUUGUUCAUGUACAUGUCAGGUUUCCUGUCAUUUGUGUGUUGUAAUUUCAACCCUUACCCUCUAUGAGUUCAUCAAAACAAAGAAUAGACUGCUUACCAACACUGUCUGUUCGUGAAGACAGUGUGGGGAUGUGACACUUCAGGAUAGCGCACACAUUCGACACAAUAUAAUCCAAUUGCCAUUAUAAAUUUUGAUAUGCUUCCUUUCAAGGAUGUCCUUUUAAGAAUUUUAAGGAUGUCGGUAGCUAUUUCCAUUCAAGAUGAAAAUGAAAUUUAGGCAGAAAAAAAAAUAAUUUACAAUUUAUUUAUGAAUAGUUGUCAAUCAUUUUUGUGACAUCUUUAUCUAAAUUUGUUUCCAUCAUAGUGUAUGUGCAUGUCUUCAUACAGAAUAAAAAUCUUGUCAACC
rnacentral:lncRNA from 1 species